CAAUUUCACUCAACAAGAUACUUUAAGCCACAUUCAUAUAAUAGUAAGUAUUAGAUAUUAUUUGAAGUGUAACGUGACAAGGCUUCAAAUCCAAUUUUAGAAAAAUGACUAUUCUUUCCAGAAAACAAACACUCAGA